AAUGAACGCUGGCGGCAUGCCUUACACAUGCAAGUCGAACGGCAGCAUGACCUAGCUUGCUAGGUUGAUGGCGAGUGGCGAACGGGUGAGUAAUGCAUCGGAACGUGCCUUUUAGUGGGGGAUAACGUAGCGAAAGUUACGCUAAUACCGCAUAUUCUCUGAGGAGGAAAGCAGGGGACCUUCGGGCCUUGCGCUAGAAGAGCGGCCGAUGUCGGAUUAGCUAGUUGGUGAGGUAAAGGCUCACCAAGGCAACGAUCCGUAGCGGGUCUGAGAGGAUGAUCCGCCACACUGGGACUGAGACACGGCCCAGACUCCUACGGGAGGCAGCAGUGGGGAAUUUUGGACAAUGGGCGCAAGCCUGAUCCAGCCAUGCCGCGUGAGUGAAGAAGGCCUUCGGGUUGUAAAGCCCUUUCGGCUGGGAAGAAAUCGCACCCUCUAAUACAGGGUGUGGAUGACGGUACCAGCAUAAGAAGCACCGGCUAACUACGUG
rnacentral:rRNA from 1 species